UACGUAGGGUGCGAGCGUUAAUCGGAAUUACUGGGCGUAAAGCGUGCGCAGGCGGUGCACCGAGCUCGAUGUGAAAGCCCCGGGCUUAACCUGGGAAUUGCAUUGAGGACUGGUGUGCUCGAGUGCGGCAGAGGGGGGUGGAAUUCCACGUGUAGCAGUGAAAUGCGUAGAGAUGUGGAGGAACACCGAUGGCGAAGGCAGCCCCCUGGGCCGACACUGACGCUCAUGCACGAAAGCGUGGGGAGCAAACAGG
rnacentral:rRNA from 1 species